GGUUGUGCUUUAAAGAAGAAGGAGUAAGUGCCAUGAGGAGCUGCCCAUAAGAAAUCACCAAGAAGUCAGGAGAAACCUAGCUCUGCUCCAUGUCAGCACCAUGUUCAAGUGCACCAGUGCCUCUUAGCUACAAGUGACUGACCCUGAUUCCUGCUUCUGUGCUGCAGACCAGCCGUUCUGGGAGACAUGGACCAACACUCCAUGGGUUCAUGAUGUUCUCUGCAUCUGCUAAGGCCAGCAGCAGCAGGUGCUUGUAUACCUGUGAAGACCUUUGGAAUUGCUGUGCCGUGAAGUUGCAUACAUCCAAGACUGCCAGCAUGCAGCCUUUAAGGCCAAGGGUGCAGAGGGACAGCUGUCAGCUUCUGUUGAUGGGCAGCAGCCUCAGUUCAUCACUGAGGCUGUCACAGAAGGGGGAAGCACUGUCACGGUGUUCACUUUUCAUCCCAUCCUGAUGUGCCCCAUGUCACUGCACACCUUGUAGUGUCCCAAAGGGAGUACUAACAGUUUUAGUCAAACAAAUUCUCCAGUUGCUGGGCCCAUGCCUCUACAAAUUGCCAGCCUGAGGUGAUAGCUCACCAAAUGAAGAAAAAGGAGUACUAUGCCAUUAUAACAUAGGGAGUAAUGAAUGGUUGAAUGGGUUGUUUGACCUUCUCUAAGGGCAUUAAUGCAGGCAAUGUUGGGUGUGUGUUGGAUGCCUACAUAGUCAGUAGUUCACUUUGUCAUCAUGGUCAGGUGAGGCUUUUUUCUGCCUGUGGACAGUAACUUUUCUAGCACAUAGCCACCAGCCUGCAUUCCAAAUGAUGCAGCUUAUCUAAUUCUUGCAUCUUUUUCUGGCUGUGUCUGGCUAUCAUGGACAUUGCACUGUGCCUUCAGGUCCUGUUCACUUGUCAUAAUGUGCAUGUUCAUUCAGUCACCUGUAGCAGCAUCCCAGGCUUUGCUGACAUUUCUGUACCCUAUUCUGGACACCACAAGACAGUGAGGCCAGCAAGGAGCCAUUUCAUCAACACUGGAUUUAC